GAUACAUCAAAAGAAACUGAAAACUCUUCACAGCAACCCGUCAAAAUAAAAGUUUGAGAGAAAUAUUACUUAAUGUCAUGAUACUCCUACUACUACUACUAAAAUUAUUAUUAAAAUAUUAUUUUUAAAGGAAUAUU